rnacentral:rRNA from 1 species
AUUGAACGCUGGCGGCAGGCUUAACACAUGCAAGUCGAGCGGGGAAAGGUAGCUUGCUACCUGACCUAGCGGCGGACGGGUGAGUAAUGCUUAGGAAUCUGCCUAUUAGUGGGGGACAACAUCUCGAAAGGGAUGCUAAUACCGCAUACGUCCUACGGGAGAAAGCAGGGGACCUUCGGGCCUUGCGCUAAUAGAUGAGCCUAAGUCGGAUUAGCUAGUUGGUGGGGUAAAGGCCUACCAAGGCGACGAUCUGUAGCGGGUCUGAGAGGAUGAUCCGCCACACUGGGACUGAGACACGGCCCAGACUCCUACGGGAGGCAGCAGUGGGGAAUAUUGGACAAUAGGGGGAACCCUGAUCCAGCCAUGCCGCGUGUGUGAAGAAGGCCUUUUGGUUGUAAAGCACGUUAAGCGAGGAGGAGGCUACCGAGAUUAAUACUCUUGGAUAGUGGACGUUACUCGCAGAAUAAGCACCGGCUAACUCUGUG